GGAUUAGCUCAGUUGGUAGAGCAACGCCCUCGUAACGCGUAGGUCGCAGGUUCGAGCCCUGUUUCCAG
rnacentral:tRNA from 1 species